UCUGUGAACUCCUACGGGAGGCAGCAGUGGGGAAUAUUGGACAAUGGGCGAAAGCCUGAUCCGGCAAUGCCGCGUGAGUGAUGAAGGCCUUAGGGUUGUAAAGCUCUUUUACCAGGGAUGAUAAUGACAGUACCUGGAGAAUAAGCUCCGGCUAACUCCGUGCCAGCAGCCGCGGUAAUACGGAGGGAGCUAGCGUCGUUCGGAAUUACUGGGCGUAAGGCGCGCGUAGGCGGUUACCCAAGUCAGAGGUGAAAGCCCGGGGCUCAACCCUGGAACUGCCUUUGAAACUAGGUAACUAGAAUCUUGGAGAGGUCAGUGGAAUUCCGAGUGUAGAGGUGAAAUUCGUAGAUAUUCGGAAGAACACCAGUGGCGAAGGCGACUGACUGGACAAGUAUUGACGCUGAGGUGCGAAAGCGUGGGGAGCAAACAGGAUUAGAAACCCCUGUAGUCCAUCAGCG
rnacentral:rRNA from 1 species